rnacentral:rRNA from 1 species
GACAGAGGGUGCAAACGUUGUUCGGAAUUACUGGGCGUAAAGCGCGUGUAGGCUGUUGCGAAAGUCGGGUGUGAAAUCCCUGGGCUCAACCCAGGAAGUGCACUCGAAACUUCGCGACUAGAGUCUCGGAGAGGGAAGCGGAAUUCUGGGUGUAGAGGUGAAAUUCGUAGAUAUCCAGAGGAACACCAGUGGCGAAGGCGGCUUCCUGGACGAUCACUGACGCUGAGACGCGAAAGCGUGGGGAG